rnacentral:rRNA from 1 species
UACGUAGGGCGCAAGCGUUGUCCGGAAUCAUUGGGCGUAAAGAGCUCGUAGGUGGUCUGUUGCGUCUGCUGUGAAAUCCUAGGGCUUAACCCUGGGCCUGCAGUGGAUACGGGCAGACUAGAGGUAGGUAGGGGAGAAUGGAAUUCCCGGUGUAGCGGUGAAAUGCGCAGAUAUCGGGAAGAACACCCGUGGCUAAGGCGGCUCUCUAGUACGGUACUGACGCUGAGACGCGAAAGCGUGGGGAGCGAACAGG